rnacentral:rRNA from 1 species
CCUACGGGUGGCAGCAGUCGAGAAUCAUUCACAAUGGGGGAAACCCUGAUGGUGCGACGCCGCGUGGGGGAAUGAAGGUCUUCGGAUUGUAAACCCCUGUCAUGUGGGAGCAAAUUAAAAAGAUAGUACCACAAGAGGAAGAGACGGCUAACUCUGUGCCAGCAGCCGCGGUAAUACAGAGGUCUCAAGCGUUGUUCGGAAUCACUGGGCGUAAAGCGUGCGUAGGCUGUUUCGUAAGUCGUGUGUGAAAGGCGCGGGCUCAACCCGCGGACGGCACAUGAUACUGCGAGACUAGAGUAAGGGAGGGGGAACCGGAAUUCUCGGUGUAGCAGUGAAAUGCGUAGAUAUCGAGAGGAACACUCGUGGCGAAGGCGGGUUCCUGGACAUUAACUGACGCUGAGGCACGAAGGCGAGGGGAGCGAAAGGGACUAGAUACCCGAGUAGUC